GAUGAACGCUGGCGGCGUGCCUAAUACAUGCAAGUCGAGCGGACAGACGAGGAGCUUGCUCCUCUGACGUUAGCGGCGGACGGGUGAGUAACACGUGGAUAACCUACCUAUAAGACUGGGAUAACUUCGGGAAACCGGAGCUAAUACCGGAUAAUAUAUUGAACCGCAUGGUUCAAUAGUGAAAGACGGUUUUGCUGUCACUUAUAGAUGGAUCCGCGCCGCAUUAGCUAGUUGGUAAGGUAACGGCUUACCAAGGCAACGAUGCGUAGCCGACCUGAGAGGGUGAUCGGCCACACUGGAACUGAGACACGGUCCAGACUCCUACGGGAGGCAGCAGUAGGGAAUCUUCCGCAAUGGGCGAAAGCCUGACGGAGCAACGCCGCGUGAGUGAUGAAGGUCUUCGGAUCGUAAAACUCUGUUAUUAGGGAAGAACAAAUGUGUAAGUAACUAUGCACGUCUUGACGGUACCUAAUCAGAAAGCUACGGCUAACUACGUG
rnacentral:rRNA from 1 species